GUGAGUAAUGCCUGGGAAAUUGCCCUGAUGUGNNNGAUAACCAUUGGAAACGAUGGCUAAUACCGCAUAAUGUCUACGGACCANAGAGGGGGACCUUCGGGCCUCUCGCUUCNGGAUAUGCCCAGGUGGGAUUAGCUAGUUGGUGAGGUAAUGGCUCACCAAGGCGACGAUCCCUAGCUGGUCUGAGAGGAUGAUCANCCACACUGGAACUGAGACACGGUCCAGACUCCUACGGGAGGCAGCAGUGGGGAAUAUUGCACAAUGGGCGCAAGCCUGAUGCAGCCAUGCCGCGUGUAUGAAGAAGGCCUUCGGGUUGUAAAGUACUUUCAGUCGUGAGGAAGGCGUUGNAGUUAAUAGCUUCAUCGUUUGACGUUAGCGACAGAAGAAGCACCGGCUAACUCCGUGCCAGCAGCCGCGGUAAUACGGAGGGUGCGAGCGUUAAUCGGAAUUACUGGGCGUAAAGCGCAUGCAGGUGGUUUGUUAAGUCAGAUGUGAAAGCCCGGGGCUCAACCUCGGAACCGCAUUUGAAACUGGCAGGCUAGAGUACUGUAGAGGGGGGUAGAAUUUCAGGUGUAGCGGUGAAAUGCGUAGAGAUCUGANGGAAUACCAGUGNCGAAGGCGNNCCCCUGNACAGAUACUGACACUCAGAUGCGAAAGCGUGGGGAGCAAACAGGAUUAGAUACCCUGGNAGUCCACGCCGUAAACGAUGUCUACUUGG
rnacentral:rRNA from 1 species